GGGAGCCGUAUGAGUCGAGAGGCUCACGUACGGUUCUGCAAGAGGUUUACGGUGAAAACCCGUUUACCUACUUACCC
rnacentral:ncRNA from 2 species